rnacentral:rRNA from 1 species
GUCCAGACUCCUACGGGAGGCAGCAGUGGGGGAUAUUGCACAAUGGGGGGAACCCUGAUGCAGCGACGCCGCGUGGGUGAAGGAGUAUUUCGGUAUGUAAAGCCCUAUCGGCAGGGAAGAAGCAAGACGGUACCUGACUAAGAAGCCCCGGCUAACUACGUGCCAGCAGCCACGGUAAUACGUAGGGGGCGAGCGUUAUCCGGAUUUACUGGGUGUAAAGGGAGCGUAGACGGUUAAUCAAGUCUGAAGUGAAAGCCCGCGGCUCAACCCCGGGACUGCUCUUGGAACUGCGCGGCUGGAGUGCAGGAGGGGCAGGCGGAAUUCCUGGUGUAGCGGUGAAAUGCGUAGAUAUCAGGAGGAACACCGGUGGCGAAGGCGGCCUGCUGGACUGCGACUGACGUUGAGGCCCGAAAGCGUGGGGAGCAAACAGGAUUAGAUACCCCAGUA